AUCUAGCUGACGAGUCUCAAAUAGGAUGAAACACACUUUGUCCUAGAU
rnacentral:hammerhead_ribozyme from 1 species